rnacentral:rRNA from 1 species
AUGAACGCUAGCGACAGGCUUAACACAUGCAAGUCGAGGGGCAGCACAGGUAGCAAUACCGGGUGGCGACCGGCGCACGGGUGAGUAACGCGUAUGCAACUUACCUAUCAGAGGGGGAUAACCCGGCGAAAGUCGGACUAAUACCGCAUGAAGCAGGGGCCCCGCAUGGGGAUAUUUGCUAAAGAUUCAUCGCUGAUAGAUAGGCAUGCGUUCCAUUAGGCAGUUGGCGGGGUAACGGCCCACCAAACCGACGAUGGAUAGGGGUUCUGAGAGGAAGGUCCCCCACAUUGGUACUGAGACACGGACCAAACUCCUACGGGAGGCAGCAGUGAGGAAUAUUGGUCAAUGGGCGUAAGCCUGAACCAGCCAAGUCGCGUGAGGGAUGAAGGUUCUAUGGAUCGUAAACCUCUUUUAUAAGGGAAUAAAGUGCGGGACGUGUCCCGUUUUGUAUGUACCUUAUGAAUAAGGAUCGGCUAACUCCGUGCCAGCAGCCGCGGUAAUACGGAGGAUCCGAGCGUUAUCCGGAUUUAUUGGGUUUAAAGGGUGCGUAGGCGGCCUUUUAAGUCAGCGGUGAAAGUCUGUGGCUCAACCAUAGAAUUGCCGUUGAAACUGGGAGGCUUGAGUAUGUUUGAGGCAGGCGGAAUGCGUGGUGUAGCGGUGAAAUGCUUAGAUAUCACGCAGAACCCCGAUUGCGAAGGCAGCCUGCCAAUCCAUGACUGACGCUGAUGCACGAAAGCGUGGGGAUCAAACAGGAUUAGAUACCCUGGUAGUCCACGCAGUAAACGAUGAUCACUAGCUGUUUGCGAUACAGUGUAAGCGGCACAGCGAAAGCGUUAAGUGAUCCACCUGGGGAGUACGCCGGCAACGGUGAAACUCAAAGGAAUUGACGGGGGCCCGCACAAGCGGAGGAACAUGUGGUUUAAUUCGAUGAUACGCGAGGAACCUUACCCGGGUUUGAACGCAUUCGGACCGAGGUGGAAACACCUCUUCUAGCAAUAGCCGUUUGCGAGGUGCUGCAUGGUUGUCGUCAGCUCGUGCCGUGAGGUGUCGGCUUAAGUGCCAUAACGAGCGCAACCCUUGCCACUAGUUACUAACAGGUAAAGCUGAGGACUCUGGUGGGACUGCCAGCGUAAGCUGCGAGGAAGGCGGGGAUGACGUCAAAUCAGCACGGCCCUUACAUCCGGGGCGACACACGUGUUACAAUGGCGUGGACAAAGGGAAGCCACCUGGCGACAGGGAGCGAAUCCCCAAACCACGUCUCAGUUCGGAUCGGAGUCUGCAACCCGACUCCGUGAAGCUGGAUUCGCUAGUAAUCGCGCAUCAGCCAUGGCGCGGUGAAUACGUUCCCGGGCCUUGUACACACCGCCCGUCAAGCCAUGGGAGCCGGGGGUACCUGAAGUCCGUAACCGCGAGGAUCGGCCUAGGGUAAAACUGGUGACUGGGGCU